rnacentral:pre_miRNA from 1 species
UGUGCACCGGUGGGGUCCCUUGGCCUGGCCUGUGGGAAUCAGGGUCGAAACCAGCUCUCCGAUGUCCCCUGAGGGUGACAGGGUGCAGGCCAGGCCGAGGGACCCCACCGGUGCACG